CAGGAUCACAGUUUCAGAGGUCUCAGUCCAUAGGCAGCUGGCUCCAUUCCUCCAUGCUUGAGAUAACAUUCUAAUCCCGAAAGCAACAACUCCAUUUGCAAGUGCCUCUCAAGAAAAGAAAGCAGCCUGCUUUGCUGGAGAUCUACUAAAACAUGAUCCAUGCCUUAUGUAUGCCUUAUCUAGUCACCUGUCAGCUGCCACCAUGGACCUUCAGACUGUCCUGAUGCUGAAUACCAUCAACUGUCCAUGUCUCAACUGAUAGAGAACAAGGACUUCAGGUUACUUCCUCCAGCUUCAUCCUCUCUCAAUAGGAAGCAGCUUGGAGAUGUCAUUGCCCGUUUUUCCAUAGAAAUGAAAAUUUGAAAUUGGCAGUGGGGAAAUGUAACAGUGGUCCAUUUCACCUUU